ACGGGUGAUAUUGAGAAAGGCAAGAAGAUUUGUGUUCAGAAGUGUGCCCAGUGCCACACUGUGGAAAAGGGAGGCAAGCACGAGACUGGGCCUAAUCUCCAUGUCUCUUUGGGUGGAAGACAGGUCAGGCCACUGGAUUCUCUUACACAGAUGCCAAUAAGAACAAAGGCAUUACCUGGGGAGAGGAUACCGAUGGAGUAUUUGGAGAAUCCCAAGAAGUACAUCCUUGGAACAAAAAUGAUCUUUGCCGACAUUAAGGCAGAAAAGGGCAGACUUGAUAGAUUAUCUCAAAAAAGCUACUAAUGGAUAA